rnacentral:rRNA from 1 species
UACAGAGGUCUCAAGCGUUGUUCGGAAUCACUGGGCGUAAAGGGUGCGUAGGCCGCACGGUAAGUCAGAGGUGAAAUCCCGGAGCUCAACUUCGGAAUUGCCUCCGAUACUGCCGUGCUUGAGGACUGGAGAGGAGAUUGGAAUUCACAGUGGAGCAGUGAAAUGCGUUGAUAUCGAUAGGAACUCCGGUGGCGAAGGCGGCAUACUGGACCACAUCUGACGCUGAGGCGCGAAAGCCAGGGGAGCAAACGGG